GACGAACGCUGGCGGCGUGCUUAACACAUGCAAGUCGAACGGAAAGGCCCUGCUUGCCGGGUACUCGAGUGGCGAACGGGUGAGUAACACGUGGGUGAUCUGCCCUGCACUUCGGGAUAAGCCUGGGAAACUGGGUCUAAUACCGGAUAGGAGCCAUUUUUAGUGUGAUGGUUGGAAAGUUUUUUCGGUGUAGGAUGAGCUCGCGGCCUAUCAGCUUGUUGGUGGGGUAAUGGCCUACCAAGGCGGCGACGGGUAGCCGGCCUGAGAGGGUGGACGGCCACAGUGGGACUGAGAGACGGCCCAGACUCCGACGGGAGGCAGCAGUGGGGAAUAUUGCACAAUGGGCGCAAGCCUGAUGCAGCGACGCCGCGGGGGGGAUGACGGCCUUCGGGUUGUAAACUCCUUUCGCUAGGGACGAAGCUUUUUGUGACGGUACCUAGAGAAGAAGCACCGGCUAACUACGUG
rnacentral:rRNA from 1 species